rnacentral:rRNA from 1 species
UUCCGGUUGAUCCUGCCGGCGGGCACCGCUAUCGGAAUGCGAUUAAGGCAUGCGAGUCGAGAGGUGUAAGACCUCGGCAGACGGCUGAGUAACACGCGGAUAAUCUGCCCUGGAGUGGGGGAUAAUCUCGGGAAACUGAGGAUAAUACCCCAUAGGUGUGGUAUGCUGGAAUGCUUCCACGCUAAAAGCCCCGGCGCUCCAGGAUGAGUCUGCGGCCUAUCAGGCUGUAGUGGGUGUAACGGACCCACUAACCUACGACGGGUAGGGGCGUUGAGAGACGGAGCCCCCAGAUGGAUUCUGAGACACGAAUCCAGGCCCUACGGGGCGCAGCAGCUACAAAAACUGCCCAAUGUGGGAAACCACGAGGCGGGCAUUCCGAGUGCCAAGGCAUUGCUUUGGNUGUUCUUUCGCCUAAAAAGCGAGAGAAGUAGGGGCCGGGUAAGACGGGUGCCAGCCGCCGCGGUAAUACCCGCGGCCCGAGUGGUGCUCAUUAUUAUUGAGCUUAAAGCGUCCGUAGCCGGCCUUGUAAAUCUUUGGGUAAAUCGAGCAGCUCAACUGUUCGAAUUCCGAGGAGACUGCAAGGCUCGGGACCGGGAGAGGUUCGAGGUACUCUCGGGGUAGGGGUAAAAUCCUGUAGUCCUGAGAGGACCACCAGUGGGGAAGGCGUCGAACUAGAACGGAUCCGACGGUGAGGGACGAAGCCCUGGGGCGCAAACGGGAUUAGAUACCCCGGUAGUCCAGGGUGUAAACGCUGCGG